CAGGAUGGGGAAUGCUACUCAUAAUGUCAGUUCAGUUUUUGCAUGCUAAAUGUGUCCUUYGCAGGGGAAUUAGGCAAGGCUGGGGGGACUGGAAACCAAGAUCAGAUGAUGAGUCAUCUCCAUUUCCCUUUUCCUGCUUUUGACUUGUAUGCUCUACAGCUGUGCAGCUGUGCCAAAAUGUCUUCCUAACUUCUCAAAAGCCACAAGUAAGCUUACACCAGGAACAGCAUUGCUUCACUUUCUUCACCUGUAGCUUUGUUACACAAGUAUGCCUAAACACGUUGCUGAAGUUAUAUCUCUGAUAAGUCAUGGUUCAGGGACAUGCCUUGUCACACAACUCACCGUGGAAGGUGGGAGAGGUGACUGACUUCUUUCCGUUUGCACGGGGCCUGCAUCUCUUCCUGCAAGGAACCCCAGAGUUGGGGAAUCAAUUUAUUGUCUGAAUGGGAGCUCAAAGAUGAAGUAACCUUUCAGAAGAAACAAAACACUGAAGCAGUGUCUAGAAGUGCACCUGACUGCUUCAAGGGGAAAAAAGGACCCAGACUAAGUUUAUUUGACAAAGGGGUGUCAGCUCUGCUCUUAGCUUCCUCCACCCCUGUUCGUGGCAAGCUCUUGUUCUUCUCUGUCUGCCGUAAAAGCCAUCGUGAAAAAGAGUGACUGUGGUGCCUCAAAUGCUUUCACCUCUCACAUGUGCAUCUGGGAUCCAUCUCCACAGGGCUUGUCCUUAGACGCUGAGGCACGCUGAAGAUGCAGGAGUAACCAGGAGGACAAUCUGAGUGUUACUGAAGGCCUUUGGGCAGCAUGCGCAGUGCUCCAUCUCGCAGAAAACUCGCACAGAAACCAGGAGAGUGGAAUUUUGGAGCAUCCACGUGGGACACUGGAGAGACUGAGGAGCAAAGGCAUAGCUGUGCCUGGUCAAAAUGUCAGAUCACAGGGGUAUGCCUACCUGUGUUAUCGGAUCUUAAAGCCGGCAGUUGGACAGAGCUAAACUUCAACCUGCAGCACUUUAAGCUUGCUGAAGUUGCUGAUGCUGACGUGUUGGGAACUUUGAAAAGAAAGUAUGUCUGUGAAAUACGAUCUUCAUUCAGAAAUCACUGCCUGUGUUUUCUAGGAUUACUUUUUUAUAGAAAGGUCAGUUUGUUAUGUGGAGUCACUUGCUAAUAUCUGAAAAUCAAGAAGAUGCCUAACUGUGAUCCCUACCCUGUGGGGCCUGGUAUCAUGCGGUGAACUGCACCUCCUACGAGAGCCCCCAGUUUCAUCCACUCUUGCUGCCCCUCUCACCAGACUGGGUGCUGCUCAGGAGAAGCCACAUGUUGUCGUCCUUUCUAGGGUGAGCAAAGCAGCUUUCUAGAGCUGUGGUUGAAUAAUUAACUUCUGAUAUAACUGAAAACAACUUUUCUAGAGAAAUGGCUCAUUGGUUUGCUUCAUUAAGAGGUACCACAUCAAGUCUAGUGCAGCUGACAGGGUAAGCAACAAAAUAAGGGCUGAAAAACAUGAAAAAGAAGUGGACUUGAAAGCAUGAGUGAGAAAAAGAGAAGGAGGGAGCAACAUAGUAAGAGCUGUCAUAAUAAAGCAUCUAACUCAUAAACUUUUAUUUGGAGA
ensembl:lncRNA